rnacentral:rRNA from 1 species
UACGUAGGGCGCAAGCGUUGUCCGGAAUUAUUGGGCGUAAAGAGCUCGUAGGCGGCUUGUCACGUCGGAUGUGAAAGCCCGGGGCUUAACUCCGGGUCUGCAUUCGAUACGGGCUGGCUAGAGUGUGGUAGGGGAGAUCGGAAUUCCUGGUGUAGCGGUGAAAUGCGCAGAUAUCAGGAGGAACACCGGUGGCGAAGGCGGAUCUCUGGGCCAUUACUGACGCUGAGGAGCGAAAGCGUGGGGAGCAAACAGG